rnacentral:rRNA from 1 species
AGAGUUUGAUCCUGGCUCAGGACGAACGCUGGCGACGUGCCUAAAACAUGCAAGUCGAACGAGCACUUCGGUGCUAGUGGCGAACGGCGUAGUAAUACAUGAGCAACGUGCCCCUAAGUCUGGGAUAUACGAUGGAAACGUCGGGUAAUACCAGAUGUGCCGGAAGGAGGGCAUCCUUCUUCCAGUAAACGGUUUUUCGCUUAGGGAGCGGCUCAUGGCCUAUCAGGUAGUUGGUGAGGUAAUGGCUCACCAAGCCGACGACGGGUAGCGGGUCUGAGAGGAUGAACCGCACGAGUGGGACUGAGACACGGCCCACACACCUACGGGUGGCAGCAGUUGGGAAUCUUGCGCAAUGGGGGAAACCCUGACGCAGCGACGUCGCGUGGAGGACGAAGGCCUUAGGGUUGUAAACUCCUUUUUUCAGGAAAGACUUAGGACGGUACCUGAAGAAUAAGCUCCGGCUAACUACGUGCCAGCAGCCGCGGUAAGACGUAGGGAGCAAGCGUUGUCCGGAUUUACUGGGCGUAAAGAGCGCGUAGGCGGUCUGUUAAGUGUGAAGUGAAAUCUCUGUG